AUCCAUUCGGCGCUAUGUAUGUCAUCACAUCUGUUCUAUUUGCUAGACAGAAUCCUUCUUCCUGUAGUAGCUUCGUAACCUCUUGGGUUUUUUUGUCGGGUUUAUCAAUUCUACAGUUUAUAUCCCCUGCGAGUAUGGCUGGUUUUUUGUGGUCUAGUCUACUGACUGCACUUGCUAUCUUCUCUAUUGCAUCUUCUAUGUUGGUUUGGGGUGGAAUAUAUAGACCUAUUAUUUCUAGGUAUGUUGUUGUUAUGUGUACCAUGUUGUCUUCUUUAUACUCCGCUAUUUUUUCCCCUAUUUUGUUGUUAUAAAUACAUGAGACUCCUCCGCUAGGUCUUCCUUCUUGUUUUUGGACUGCAUAACUGUGCGUUGUGUAAUAUCCUGGUAUGGCUGUGUAUUCUGUUAGAAAGGUUUCGGUUAAUACUAUAAUGUCAUGAUUUUGUGUUAUUGUAUCCGGGGCGUUUUGCAUUAUUGACUUUAAUCCUUCAACAUUCCACAGGAGUAGAUCCAAUGUUCUUUUGCUGUUGGUCGUUUCUUGAUUAUUUCCGUCCUUAAGCGUUGAGGUCGGUGCCUUGGAAUGGUCGUGAGCGAAAUCGGAAGCGUUCAACUCGCACUCCUUUGGGCCAGAAUUCUGGCGUUUCUACUUCGGAUAGUCGAUUGAAGUGGAGCCCCAGUCAAUGCUCAAUAUCAGCUUACGUUCCAGCGAUACAAGUUUGAGAUUCCAUGGUUUUUCGUGUACGUAAUGUUGGUGGCAUUGAUUCAUGGGAAUCUAAUGUGGUCGAAGUGAUGUGUCAAAGUGGAUUGUUAUGCUGAGAUCUUUUGUAUUUCGACGCGUAAUUUUAUGCAACAGUGCUCUUUAUAAAUACUGUUAUUAUCAACAUUUUAUAUAUUCGUAUAAAUUAUUGUAAAGGGUCAUAUAUUUUGAGCAAAAAUAAUGGUGAAACUGUAUGCUUUGAAUGUGUUAUUCAAGGGGCCAAAUAAUGCCAUUUGGCUGAAAUCUGCAUACGAUCUGUCGGCCUAUAGUUUUUUCCAAAGAAGCAGUGUUCAAGAGUUUAUGGCAUUUGUUAGUAAAACAAUUGUAGAAAGAACACAGACUGCUGCAAGGCAGUCGGUAAAAGAGGGAGAAUAUAUGUGUCACGUGUAUGUUCGAGGAGAUAAUUUAGCUGGAGUUUUAAUAUCAGACCAUGAUUAUCCCCAUCGUGUUUCACACACACUGAUCACGAAGGUUCUUGAUGACUUUGCACUAAGUGUGCCUGCAGCAUCAUGGCCAGUUGGUUCUGAGGCAACAAUAUCAUUUCCUCAGCUAUAUACAUACCUUGCUAAAUAUCAGAAUCCCAGAGAAGCUGAUGCUAUGACCAAAAUACAAGAAGAACUAGAUGAAACAAAGAUAAUAUUGCACAACACAAUAGAAGCAGUUCUACAGCGAGGAGAGAAAUUGGAUGACUUAGUAGCAAAAUCAGAAGGAUUAAGUGUGCAGUCUAAAGCCUUCUAUAAAACAGCCCGUAAAACGAAUUCAUGUUGCACGUCUGGAUAAAAGUGACCCUUCUAAGGCAUGAAACAUGUUUCUGCAGUGAGCCAUCAACAUACAUUGGAAAUCAGGAACUUAAGGAGCAUGGGGUUUGCCAGUUACAUGAAUCUGCCAGUUGGACAAGAGGAGUUGGUGCAGAAACCAGGUACAGAGUCAAAACAACAUGUUUGCACUUCAGUUCCUGUGUGAGAGUUCUAGAUGACUGCAGAUUUGUGGUGAACAAUUUAAGGUACAAUACUGUAAACAACUCAAGUAGCCUCUACUUCAUGCCCCCCGUGUGAUGGAGCAUGUCAGGUAGUGUUGCUGAUGGUGGCUUGGAGAAGUACCACAUGACAGGGGAACAUACGAAUAUCAGAAAUUUGUUUUUCAAUAACUUUAUAAAGAUAUAAAAUUUUCUUGGAAAUGUUUCACCAUUUUGAUGAGAAUUCUGGAUGCUUGGAUGCCAGGUAACUGGGAGUUUUGUGUGUCUGUAUAAUAUAUGUAUAUAAAGGGAAGGCAGUAAAAUAGUUUGAAGUAAUUUGUAAAAAAUAUAUCAAUUAUAAGUUUUGAAAAUGUAUGCAGUUAUAUAAGACAAAUUUUUAGUACAGUGCAUUUUAUUGAUACCUGAGGAAGUGUGGGCCCAAUGAUACAAGAGUACUGAUAGUGUAUUGCAGAACGACUGGGAUUUAACAUGAAAUGGUAAGAAAAGGUAAUCAAAAUUGUGAAUUUCACUGUAGUAAUAUGUAACAUUACAAAGAGUUGAUAAGAAAAUCGAAAUGUUAUGUCUUGUAAUGACCAUCUACACUUACUGUCACAAAGUAUUUCUUCAAUCAAAAUAAACCAAAAGAAAUUAAAAGAUGGGUGGGGGGGGGUUAAGGAAAGAGAAAUAAGAAAUAAUUAUGCUGAAUGGGAGUGACAUUUAAGAGAAACUAGCUUCAUAUAUGUAGAAAGCAGUCUUCUGGGAUUUGGCACCGUGUAUAUGUGGUGUUAACACCACAUAUACAUGGUGCCAAAUCCCAGAAGACUGCUUUCUACAUAGUCACCGCCGUGAAAGACUCAAAUCUUUCAUAUAUGUAAUUGGAGAAAGGACAUCCAGAUCUCUCAUACAGACAGGAAACUUUGUAAGAUAAAUAAGAGGGUCUGGAUAACACUUGUAGGUACAGGUGAAAUACAGUUAAUGGUAUACUGAUGCUUUGCAAUGUGGUGGGUGAACAGGUCAGGGUUGUAAAGGAAAGAAGUUUGUGUUUUGACAGAUGAUUGUUAAUAUCUAGGGAUAGGUGAUGGUUUGAGCCAGAAUAGCUGUGCGAGUGUGGAGACUAGGCUAGGAACCAGGUGAAUGAGGAAUCAGAGUUUGAUUCCUAGCAGGGACAAGAGAUUUCUCUCUUCUCUGCCACAUCCAAGCUGGCUCUGGAGCCCUCCCAACCUCUUACCUGAUAGGUACCAAGGGUUCUUUUCCCAUGGGUAAAAUGGCUGGGAUGUGAAGCUGAGCACUGACAUCAGUCUAGUGCCAAACUUAAGAAGCAUGAUGCUGUGCAUACAUCCAUGCUCCAUUUUUUUAUAUUGUGCUUAAUUAAGCACAAAAGUAGUUUUACCAUUUGCCUUCUUAAGUGAUCAUGAAUUAAGAGUGGUCACUGGGGAUUAUCAUGAAAGAGUUUUUGUUCAGGAUUCCAGUAGUAUGUCAAUGAUAGAGGAGACUUGAGGGAAUAUUCAGUAUUAUUGUGGUUUUCAAGGGAAUGGGAUAAAGAAGGGAUUGUGAUGAUCACAGCUGUCUAGUCAGGAGAAUGAAAGGUGCUAUUACUUGAGCUGGUGACAUCACCAUCAGGAAGGUCAAAAGGGUGUGGGAAUGAACCACCUGUUUGACAGGAUAAUGGCAAUAAAGGGAAUGGAUAUUGUUAUUGGGCUUAUAGAAGAUGUCACUGUAUAUUAUGUCAAGACACUGCAAAAAAGCAAGGAAACCCUGCUCAGGAUGAAUGAGUUUUAAUAGUAAGGGCUUUUCACCUAAUAUGAAGUAAAUGCAUGGAAUAGAAGGAAAGGUUAUGUGUUAGGAGAGAAUGGAAAAGGUGACGAAGUGAGGUAUAGGGAGGACGAUUGAGGAGUGUUUCUAAGGCAGGAUGGUACUAUGUACAAGGAAUAGUUGCUAAUUCUGAAUGUAUUACAGGGAAAAAUAAAGACAUCCUAAUUAAACUAAAGCUCUAAAAUAUCACUUCUAAUUAUUAGAUUUUAAUUUUAUCCCACAGAACAGAUUAUUAGAACAGUAACAUGGCUGACUUCUUUUUGGAUGAUACCUGGUUCAUAUGUUUGUCAGUGCACUUGCUAUGUUGUUUCAUACAGUGCUAUGUAGCCUCUGCAUCUGAUACAGCAACUGUAACCUAUAAGUGAACCAGUAAUUUUCAUGGUGUCUCGACUCUUUUAAUAUAAUAAAUAAACUUUUCUUAUAUAAAAUUGUACUAUUGUGGUUAUGUCUUGCAGUUUGCCAGCAGAGUUAUCUUAAGUCCAGUUUGGCACAGCCUGUAAAAAAAAAAAGAUUCAUUUUAUGUAACUUCAGGAGCUAAAUUUCAAAACAUUUGACUUGAAUAAAACAGUAGUGAAAGAGAGACCUGCAGUUGGAAAUCCUACACGCCAGUUCCAUAGAACUGGAUGAUUCCACAGUUCACAAGAUCCGAAAUAAUUUUGUACCACAGACCAAUUUGCAACCAAUUUGCAAAUUGUUACAAAUUAGUUCUCCCAGAUUUUUGUGACAUAAUUAUGUUCAUGCACAGGUAUCUUCUGAAAUGAAUUCAGUAAAAUGUAAUUACUGCUCCAGAAUGUGUGGCCUGAGGGGGAUUUUGUUGACAGUUUUUAUUAUUUUUCAUUGAACUGUGGAAGAUGUGUUGAAGUUACGAAAUACCUUUGCAGGGAGAAUGUGAGGGUGUGGACUAUAUUUAACUGACUCAGAUUAGGGGCCAGUGGAAAGCUUUUGUGAAUAUGGUAACGAAUUUUCAUAUACCAUAAAAGGUAAAGAAUUUUAUGACCAGCUGAUUAACUGUUGUUUUCUGAAGAACUCUGCUUCAUGGAGUUAACAGGAACUACUUGAACCCCUAAAAAUGGAAGUGUCAUAGACACUUGUUUUUCUAAUGACAUGAGCUGGGCAGCUGACUGUAGUGACUAGCUGUAAACUUAUGGCAGGGACAGGGAUUUUUUCCUUUGCCACUGUGUCUAGACUGGCUCCAAGACCCACCCAGCUUUCAUCCGUUCGUUUCGUUUCGGUUCUUUUCGUUUCGGUUCGUUCGUUCGUUCGUUUCGGUUCGGUUGUU